GAUGAACGCUGGCGGCAGGCCUAACACAUGCAAGUCGAGGGGGAAACGUCUGCUUAUGUUGAGACCGGCGCACGGAUGCGUAACUCAUAUGCAAUCUACCUUAUACUAAGGGAUAGACCACAGAAAUUUGGAUUAGUACCUUAUAGUUAAUACAAUUGGCGUAAAUUUUGGUUAUCAAGAUUUAUUGGUAUAAGAUGAGCAUGCCUCCCAUUAAUUAGUUGGUAGGGGAACGGCUUGCCUACACGAUGAUGGAUAGGGGUCCUGAUAAGGAGAUCCCCCACACUGGUACUGAUACACAGACCACACUCCUACUGGAGGCAGCAGUGAGGAAUAUUGGUCAAUGGACGAAAGUCUGAACCAGCCAUGCCGCGUGCAGGAUGAAGCAUCUAUGGUGUGUAAACUGCUUUUGUACGGGAAGAAAAAACAUUACGUGUAAUGUACUGACGGUACCGUAAGAAUAAGGAUCGGCUAACUCCGUGCCAUCAGCCGCGGUAAUACGGAGGAUCCAAGCGUUAUCCGGAAUCAUUGGGUUUAAAGGGUCCGUAGGCGGCCUUAUAAGUCAGCGGUGAAAGUUUUUGGCUUAACCAAGAAAUUGCCAUUGAUACUGUAGGGCUUGAAUUAUUGUGAAGUAACUAGAAUAUGUAGUGUAGCGGUGAAAUGCUUAGAUAUUACAUGGAAUACCAAUUGCGAAGGCAGGUUACUAACAAUGGAUUGACGCUGAUGGACGAAAGCGUGGGUAGCGAACAGGAUUAGAUACCCUGGUAGUCCACGCCGUAAACGAUGGAUACUAGCUGUUUGUUCCAAAGGAUGAGUGGCUAAGCGAAAGUGAUAAGUAUCCCACCUGCGGAGUACGGCCGCCAGCCUGAUACUCAAAGGAAUUGACGGCGGCCCGCACAAGCGGCGGAGCAUGUGGUUUAAUUAGACGAUACGCCAGGAACCUUACCACCGCUUCAAUGUGUUUUGACCGAUCUGGAAACACAUCUCUUUCAAGACUGAACACACGGUGCUGCAAGGUCGUUGUCAACUCGGUCUGUGAGGCUGUCAGGUGUAAGUCCUAUAACGAGCGCAACCCCUGUUCUUAGUUGCCAACCAGUAGUGUCGGGAACUCUAACAAGACUGCCAGUGUCAACUGUGAGGAAGGUGGGGAUGACGUCAAAUCAUCACGGCCCUUACGUCCUGGGCCACACACGUGCUACAAUGGUCGGUACAGAGAGCAGCUACCUAGUGAUAGGAUGCGAAUCUAUAAAACCGUUUUCAAUUCGGAUCGGAGUUUGCAACUUGACUCCCAGAAACUGGAAUCGCUAGUAAUUGGAGAUCAACCAUGAUCCGGUGAAUACGUUCCCGGGCCU
rnacentral:rRNA from 1 species